UGCAAUUUUUGGAUAAUCGCGUGAGAGCUUUCUCUCAUGAGGAAAGUCCAUGCUAGCACAGGCUGUGAUGCCUGUAGUGUUUGUGCUAGGUGAAUCCAUAAGCCUAGGGACUUGAUGUUCAAGUUACGGCGAGCGAACGGGCUAAGUCUUAGGAUAAGUUCUACUAGCUCUGAAAGUGCCACAGUGACGUAGUUUUUAGGGAAACCUAAAAAGUGGAACGCGGUAAACCCCUCAAGCUAGCAACCCAAACUUUGGUCGGGGCAUAGGAUGCAUGGAAACGAACAUAGCAUUCUGACUGGAAACAGUAGACAGAUGAUUAUCGAAGGAAAUGGUACCUAGUCAUUUCUGGAACAAAACAUGGCUUAUAGAAAAUUGCAUAUA
rnacentral:RNase_P_RNA from 1 species